rnacentral:rRNA from 1 species
AUUGAACGCUGGCGGCAGGCCUAACACAUGCAAGUCGAGCGGAUGAAGGGAGCUUGCUCCUGGAUUCAGCGGCGGACGGGUGAGUAAUGCCUAGGAAUCUGCCUGGUAGUGGGGGAUAACGUCCGGAAACGGGCGCUAAUACCGCAUACGUCCUGAGGGAGAAAGUGGGGGAUCUUCGGACCUCACGCUAUCAGAUGAGCCUAGGUCGGAUUAGCUAGUUGGUGGGGUAAAGGCCUACCAAGGCGACGAUCCGUAACUGGUCUGAGAGGAUGAUCAGUCACACUGGAACUGAGACACGGUCCAGACGCCUACGGGAGGCAGCAGCGGGGAAUAUUGGACAAUGGGCGAAAGCCUGAUCCAGCCAUGCCGCGUGUGUGAAGAAGGUCUUCGGAUUGUAAAGCACUUUAAGUUGGGAGGAAGGGCAGUAAGUUAAUACCUUGCUGUUUUGACGUUACCAACAGAAUAAGCACCGGCUAACUUCGUG